rnacentral:rRNA from 1 species
CCUUACCUGGGUUUGACAUAUAGGUUGUAGGGAACUGAAAGGGACCGACCCUUCGGGGAGCCUAUACAGGUGUUGCAUGGCUGUCGUCAGCUCGUGUCGUGAGAUGUUCGGUUAAGUCCGCUAACGAGCGCAACCCUCGUCGUAUGUUAUAUGUGUCAUACGAGACUGCCGGUAAAAGCCGGAGGAAGGUGAGGAUGAUGUCAAGUCAGCAUGACCUUUAUAUCCAGGGCUACACACACGCUACAAUGGUCUGUACAAUGGGUAGCCAAGCCGCGAGGCGGAGCCAAUCCUGAAAGCAGGCCUCAGUUCAGAUUGCAGUCUGCAACUCGACUGCAUGAAGCCGGAGUUGCUAGUAACCGCAGGUCAGCUAUACUGCGGUGAAUACGUUCCCGGGGCUU